rnacentral:rRNA from 1 species
GAUGAACGCUAGCGGCAGGCCUAAUACAUGCAAGUCGGACGAGAUCCAUCGGAGAGCUUGCUCGAAGAUGGUGAGAGUGGCGCACGGGUGCGUAACGCGUGAGCAACCUACCUCUAUCAGGGGGAUAGCCUCUCGAAAGAGAGAUUAACACCGCAUAAUAUAAUCUUCCGGCAUCGUUAGAUUAUUAAAUAUUUAUAGGAUAGAGAUGGGCUCGCGUGACAUUAGCUAGUUGGUAAGGUAACGGCUUACCAAGGCGACGAUGUCUAGGGGCUCUGAGAGGGGAAUCCCCCACACUGGUACUGAGACCAGGACCAGACUCCUACGGGAGGCAGCAGUAAGGAAUAUUGGUCAAUGGGCGGAAGCGUGAACCAGCCAUGCCGCGUGCAGGACGACUGCCCUAUGGGUUGUAAACUGCUUUUGUCCAGGAAUAAACCUAAAUACGUGUAUUUAGCUGAAUGUACUGGAAGAAUAAGGAUCGGCUAACUCCGUGCCAGCAGCCGCCGUAACAC